rnacentral:rRNA from 1 species
GACGUAGGGGCCGAGCGUUGUUCGGAGUUACUGGGCGUAAAGGGCUCGUAGGUGGCCAACUAAGUCAGACGUGAAAUCCCUCGGCUUAACCGGGGAACUGCGUCUGAUACUGGAUGGCUUGAGUUUGGGAGAGGGACGCGGAAUUCCAGGUGUAGCGGUGAAAUGCGUAGAUAUCUGGAGGAACACCGGUGGCGAAGGCGGCGUCCUGGACCAAUACUGACACUGAGGAGCGAAAGCCAGGGGAGCAAACGGG